rnacentral:rRNA from 1 species
UAGGGAAUCUUCGGCAAUGGACGGAAGUCUGACCGAGCAACGCCGCGUGAGUGAAGAAGGUUUUCGGAUCGUAAAGCUCUGUUGUUAGAGAAGAACGUUGGUAGGAGUGGAAAAUCUACCAAGUGACGGUAACUAACCAGAAAGGGACGGCUAACUACGUGCCAGCAGCCGCGGUAAUACGUAGGUCCCGAGCGUUGUCCGGAUUUAUUGGGCGUAAAGCGAGCGCAGGCGGUUCUUUAAGUCUGAAGUUAAAGGCAGUGGCUUAACCAUUGUCCGCUUUGGACACUGGUGGACUUCAGUGCAGAAGUGGAGAGUGGAUUUCCAUGUGUAGCGGUGAAAUUCGUAGAUAUAUGGAGGAACAACGGUGGCGAAAGCGUCUCUCUGGUCUGUAACUGACGCUGAGGCUCGAAAGCGUGGGGAGCAAACAUG